rnacentral:rRNA from 1 species
UACGUAGGGACCUAGCGUUGUCCGGAAUCAUUGGGCGUAAAGCGCGCGUAGGCGGCCCGGUAAGUCCGUUGUAAAAGUCGAAGGCUCAACCUUCGAAAGCCGAUGGAUACUGCCGGGCUAGAGUACGGAAGAGGCGAGUAGAAUUCCUGGUGUAGCGGUGGAAUGCGCAGAUAUCAGGAAGAACACCUAUGGCGAAGGCAGCUCUCUGGGACGGUACUGACGCUGAGGAGCGAAAGCUAGGGGAGCAAACGGG